rnacentral:SRP_RNA from 1 species
GCUAGGCAUGGUGGCGUGUACCUGUAGUCCCAGCUACUCAGGAGGCUGAGGUGGGAGGAUCACUUGAGCCCAGGAGGUGGAGGUUGCAGUGAGGUGAAAUUGUGCCACUGCACUCCAGCCUGGGCAACAGAGUGAGACCCUGUCUCAA